CUCUGGGGUGUCCCUGCCAGUCUCAGCCACAAACCAUUCCAAGUAAAGAUGGCUGCUUUCCCACAGACUGGAAAGACAUACCUGGUUUUGAUUGGAUCGUCAUAUGUGAUUCCCUUGGCCAUUUCCUUCACUGACAUCAAGGCUGAGAAGACAGAUAUGGCUCAGGGAUGGCCUUGCUUCCCAGAGGCCAGGUCCUUCAGAUAUAACAUGCCUGGGAUUGGGGGAGGAGGCUCAGUCCACCUCUCCUCCUGCCUGACUACAAUCAUACCUCGGCCCUCAGCCACACUCUCCAGGAUCUUCUCCUCUUCUUUCAGCUGCUUCUCUUUGGCCGACUCCUUGCGAGCUGAGAAAAGAAGCAGAUGUCAGAGUCGUGCCAAAGCACUGCACCAAGUUGAGCCUCCCCGCUGCUUUCCAGCACACCUUCAGCCUUCUCUUUAAGGUGCUGGUGCUGAUCCAGGAGGCUGACGUUGGACUGAGGGCCCAGAGGGAUGUCGUCCUCAUCUCCCCGGGGCUCGCUGCCGCUGUCCUGCUGCUCCUCCUCCGAAGCUCCUUUGCGCCUUCGUUGCAGUAGCUUCUGGAGCUGAAGUUCCACCAGCGCCCCUCAGAGCCAAGCCCAAGACAAAACGGAGUAUCGGGCCCAGGGGGCUUGCGUCAGGAUCCUGGCUUUUGGGAGAGGGUCCUAUGCCUCGCGACGGAGGUCCUAGCCCUCAGAUCAGGUUCCGAGUCCUCCAUCCUUUGCUGCACGCAUGCGCGCUACCGUAAAACCCCGCCUCAACUUUUGCGUGAGAUCCAAUCAGAUGUGAAGAAGCGGAACGUCGGCACCUAGCAACGACCUCUGAGUGCCGGAUCGCGCAGAGGGACAAACUUUCCCGAGAUGCGGUCAGGCAGUGUGACGUCAAAAUCCCCUUGGGCGGCUGCGCAUUUGUUGCCAGGGGCGAGGGCGAAGCGUCAGACAAUGCAUUAUGGGACGGUGGAAGACUUGGAGCAUGCGCAACUAAGCCUGUUGAAAGUCCGAGUGGAGACCUCAGAUACAGAAGAGACCCGCCUACUGGAGGCCCAGCCUCGCCCAGAACCUGACGUCAUCUGGCACGUUCCGGGACUGGCCAGCUGGAACCCCGCCCGGGACUCCAUCCCGGGCCCGGGAUCAACUUACACUGCAGCUCUGACUGUUGUCCUUAUCUGUGUGACAACACGUAUGUUCAGAGUGGUGAGGGAUAAAUAAAAUACUGAUGACCGUG